rnacentral:rRNA from 1 species
GGAUAAUCUGCCCUCAGGUGAGGAAUAAUCCCGGGAAACUGGGGCUAAUGCCUCAUAGGAGACGGGUGCUGGAAUGCUCUGUCUCCGAAAGGUCCGCCGCCUGAGGAUGAGUCUGCGUCCGAUUAGGUUGUUGUUGGGGUAACGGCCCAACAAGCCUUUGAUCGGUACGGGUUGUGGGAGCAAGAGCCCGGAGAUGGAUUCUGAGACAUGAAUCCAGGCCCUACGGGGCGCAGCAGGCGCGAAAACUUUACAAUGCGAGCAAUCGUGAUAAGGAAACCCUGAGUGCCUGUCAAUGCAGGCUGUUCUGGUGUCUAACACACACCAGGAGAAAGGGCGGGGCAAGACCGGUGCCAGCCGCCGCGGUAAUACCGGCUGCUCGAUUGAUAGCCACUUUUACUGGGCUUAAAGCGUUCGUAGCUUGGUCGUUAAGUCUCUGGGGAAAUCUUUUGGCUCAACCAAAAGGCGUCUCAGGGAAACUGACGAUCUUGGAACCGGGAGAGGUAAGACGUACUUCGGGGGUAGGAGUGAAAUCUUGUAAUCCCCGAGGGACGACCGAUGGCGAAGGCAUCUUACCAGAACGGCUUCGACAGUGAGGGACGAAAGCUGGGGGAGCAAACCGGAUUAGAUACCCGGGUAGUCCCAGCCGUAAACGAUGUGCGUUAGGUGUGUCAGUGACCACGAGUCGCUGAGGUGCCGAAGGGAAACCGUGAAACGCACCGCCUGGGAAGUACGGUCGCAAGGCUGAAACUUAA